GUGUAAGUUGACAAGGCGCGCAUUUUCCAUUGAACUAUGCAUUGAAAAUGAAUUUGUCGGAGCCGGUGAACGCCUCCCAGACCCCGCCUCUCAACUUUGUCCUCCCUCUGUGUACUUUUUGUCUUCGAGCGUCUGGGUGUUAACUGCCAAGUUGAACUCUCUUAACAACAGGCCUUCGGUCAGAAGUGAAGGUCUUUUUUCCCCCCGCUCUUCACACUCCCCAAAUUUUUUUUCCCCCUCGGUACAGGUGGAUUCUGCAUCCGCAGUGGCAGCAUGUCUCCUUCCACAUCCCCCCGGUUCUUCACGGAGAGGGAGGUGACCCGCCACUGUACUAAGGACUCAUGUUGGGUGCUACUCGGAUCCCGGGUUUUCGACGUGACAGCCUUCUUGCGGAUGCACCCGGGAGGGGAAGCGCUGAUACUUAGCAGGUCGGGGAAAGACGUGAGCAGGGAGUUGGAGGGACCCCCGCAUCGACACUCGGAGAACGCCCGACGGUGGAUGGAACAAUAUUACAUCGGAGAGUUGGACCGAGACAGCGACGACGUCACAGGGCAGCUUCAGAGUCUGAGGGAGAGGAGGAACUCCACUAAACAGACAGAAGAAAAAACAGCGCAAGUAACGCAGAAAGAUGACGACCAGAAUGCCCCACACAAUCUCUGCAGCUGUGUGGACCUCGAAAACGAUUUGGUGGACUGGAGGAAGCCCCUGGCAUGGCAGGUAGGCCACUUAGGAGAGAAAUAUGAUGCCUGGGUUCACCAGCCAGUCGACAGGCCCAUCAGACUGUUUGGAAACCCUUUCCUUGAGGCCAGCACCAAGACUUCCUGGUACUGGGUGCCAGUGGUGUGGCUUCCUAUUGUGUGUUAUCUUAGUUGGUCUUGCUUCACCACCCUGGCAAAGGGCACAACCAGAAUACCCUUCACCUCAGACUUCUCUGUCUUGGUCCACAAGUACACUUUCCCACUGCUCUUCAUGACUGGCUGGUUCUUGUGGUCAUUCAUCGAGUACUGCAUCCAUCGCUUUGUCUUCCACAUGAAACCACCAGCUCAUAACUACUACCUCAUCAUGCUACACUUUCUCCUGCAUGGACAGCAUCACAAGUCUCCAUUCGACGGGUCUCGGCUGGUCUUUCCACCCGGAUUGGCCUCCGUCGUGGUUGGACUUUUCUACACGAUCCUCAAUAACCUGCUGCCGGAUAUUGUGGGCAUGUCCGUAUUUGUCGGGGGACUGUGCGGCUACGUCGUGUACGAUAUGAUCCACUACUACCUCCACUACGGAUCGCCCAAGAAAGGUUCUUACAUGUACAGCUUGAAGGCCUACCACGUCAAACACCACUUUGAGCACCAGAGAUCAGGUUUUGGAAUCAGCACCGCAUUUUGGGACCACCCCUUCAACACAGUCAUCCCUGAUGAGAAAUUCUAAUCGUGAAGGCCUCCAGUACAGGGCCAAAAGUACUUAUCAAGAACCCUCCUGUUAUGUCUUACACAAACCAGACAGCCCAGUUCCGCCAAAACGGAGGAUACAGCUUUGCCUCCGCCGCUAUCCGUCCACACUUUCGCUAUUUCAUCUUGCAUUCGCAUUCCCGUCAGCGCCACAUUCCUUCUUUCUGUGCGUGUUGCUGUGCGCUUGACCUCACUGUUGCAAGGCAUCGCUCUGCCCAAACCAAAUCACCCGCCGUUGCUGCUCCCUUAACCACACUGACGUCCCCCUUGUCAGAUCACUCGAGUUAGCCCUGCAACGAGAUGCAUCUGUGAGGCGAUUGAAACGCAAUUCAAACACGGCAUUACUCGGCCAUCGGGCCCGUCGACUAUUCCAUCGAUUACUUACGUCAACAACACCCGUGCGCGUCAAUGCCCGGUUCAUUUUUUGUUUUUGUUUUUUUUUUGCGUAUGUUAAGUCUCGGAUAAACCGAGUUUGGUGGGAGGGGAUCCAAAAACGUAGCCAACAACAAGGUCUCCGUAGGGAAAAUGACAAUUUAAUGUCUCAAUCGCACCGAAAAUAAGGCGAGAACAUAAAGCGCUGGUCCACAAUAAGGACCGGGAGGCAAAUCCAAACGAGUCACAAAAAGUGCAAGGAAGAAAAACAAAGACCGCAAAAUACCAACGAAAAACAAUGUAACACGCACAAAAAGCCAGAUCAUCAAAACAAAACGGUACUUACUCAAAAAUGGGUACCGAGAACUAUAACGCGAAAUCAUGACGAGGUCAAAAGCCAAUAAGUCAAAGAAUGGCGAACAUAGCAAUGCCAUAGACAAUACUCCCACAACGGGUGAAUGGCGGAGGAGUCCUUAAAUGCUGAGUCUGAAGAUUCCAGAUUGGCAGCAGGUGUGCCAGAAUGUCCGCUCAUGCCACCUGCUGGCCAGACCGGGCAGCAGGCGUGCCAGAAUGUCCGCUCAUGCCACCUGCUGGCCAGACCGGGCAGCAGGCGUGCCAGAAUGUCCGCUCAUGCCACCUGCUGGCCAGACCGGGCAGCAGGCGUGCCAGAAUGUCCGCUCAUGCCACCUGCUGGCCAGACCGGGCAGCAGGUGUGCCAGAAUGUCCGCUCAUGCCACCUGCUGGCCAGACCGCAAAACCGAAACGUGACACCGUAAAAUUUUUGACAGUGAUGAGCAUCCACCUACAAAAAAAAAACGUCUCGCCAAGGUUGAUAUAUAUUAUCACUUAAAAGUAGACAAUAUGUUUAUUAAUUCAUAUUAAUUCAAUUCAAUUCAUAUUAAUUUUCAUAGAAGCCAUUGUCUGCAGGUGCGCACUCUGUCUCGCUGGCUCGAGUGCCUCUGCUCCGUUGGCCCACAGUUGAUGUGAGGAGAAGCGGCCGCGUCUGCCAUGCUUGCCCCCCCCCCCCCCCCCCCGUCCGUUCUUUAUUUCCCACAAUAAUCGCCUCACUUCACACUCACAUUCAUCACCGCUCAGCGUUUCGCGAUGAGACCGGACAGGAAGCUACGCUAAGCUAAGUUAGCCGAAGAGGCUUUAAACACGCACCAAGCGGUCAUGACAAUUCAGUGGAAAGUCAAGUGAUGUGGCAGUCAAGUGAUGUGACGAAGAUGACGUUUGUUCAGUGUUAAUUUACUUCAAAACACCAAUUUAACGCCGGAUUGUUAGCUCGAAAGAGUAUCAAGCGGCCACCGGCAAGUCAUCACGCAGGUCACAUUGCCGCGUUCAAGUCUUCAGUCUCGGCCAGCUCCGCUUUGCGGCAAUUGAUCAAAUCUUAUUUUUCUCCCUUUUCACUCUCAAGGGACCACAAAGCCUUUGGUAUCUUCAUCUGCAUGAACACGUUGCCCGAAAGGAGCGUCCGCAGCUACAAAUGUCGGCGCAGAGACACAAAAUUGGCCAAACAUCGGUUCCGCGUGCCGCAAAUAUGAAUUUUAAAAUGACUAAAAACAGUUUGGAGACAUGCGUUUCUGAUUCCACCGAAUGAUGUAGUUUGUCGACUUAUUUUUUUCCCGCCGGACCGACGCAUCUAUCGGCGCAGAGUUCAUUUAAUCAAAACCACUGCGGACACAACAACAACAACAACAACAACAAAUCACGAACCGUCAUUGUCCUUCUCAUUCUUCUCCCAAUGGUGGAAAACUUAUCCAUCCGUUUGGAUGAAAUGCAAGUAACAUUAUUCUCUUGAGUACAAAGUUUAUUCAUAGUGUUGACUUUAAAUGUUGGAAAGUGUCAGUGCAUUGUAUUUUUUUAAGGCUGUUAAUCCCCCCCCCCGCGCCCCCAUUUUCUCUCUUUUGUCAAUAAUGAUGCUUCAACAAUGUAAAAAAAAAAUUUUUUUUAAAUCAUGUUUUAUAAGAUGCUUUGUACAGCAAAUUCUUAGAUAGCUCCAGCAUGACAUCAUCCGAAAAAGAGAUCAGCAUUUUUUCACCAAUUUAGAAAUCGAUGGAUGAUGUCAACAUACGUGCCAGAGGAAGAGUGAAGGAAUGAGCUCCCGGGAGGAUGACGAUGGAGCGACUGUCUGACUGAGCAGCAGGAAGUUUCGAUAGCUGACGGAGCUUCAAGCGUCCCCCUCUUGGGCACCGUUGAUUACCAAUGCAGAACAAACCAUUGACACGAAAUAGAUUUUGACUUAAGAGAACAGUUACUUCAAGGGUAUCCACUCGUUGGCAGAAUGACUAAAAUUUUACGAAAUACGCACGUGCGUAAAACAGAAAAGAACAUGCACAUUAUAUUCACGCUUUUUUUUUUUUUUUUACCAUUUUCACCAAUUUUUAAUAGAUGAAAAACGUCAAUAAUUGUGGACUAGCAGUUUUUGUAUUCCAAACAGCUGCACUAACUCUCAGUCUGUGAUAAUGAGGCGGCUGUGUCACUGAAACACCAACGUAUCCCACCCUGUAUUCGCAGAGUUGGCAACAUAUAUUUUCUUCAUAUCACGUGUCAGUACUGUAAGAGAAAUAUGAUCAUAUUCAUGAAUGUCCAAUGCAUGAAGAAAGCCUUGAUAUGAAUUUCAAGCACACAUAUGUUCAUACGUAAACCAUUUAGACAGUGGCGAUGAUGAUGAUGAUGAUGAUGAUGAGUGUACCAGUCGAGGUUGUGCACAGGUCAUGCUUGUUGGAAUAAAGUAUAAACAAAUAAUGAUAUUUAUUUGAUCAACAUACAGCUUGAUUCUAGCAAUGGAUAUUGUGCUUAAUAUUGACAAAAUUAUGCAUAUUUCCCUCAUUUGUUUUCAUGUCUCAUACAUUUUAUGUUGCAAUUUUAAAUUUCUAUGAAAAAUGUAUUUGUAAAUAAAUGUCUACAUUUCUGAUGUUA